rnacentral:rRNA from 1 species
UACGGAGGGGGCGAGCGUUAUUCGGAAUUAUUGGGCGUAAAGGGCGCGUAGGCGGCUGUACAAGUCAAAGGUGAAAUCCCUCGGCUCAACUGAGGAACUGCCUUUGAAACUGUACGGCUUGAGGCCGGGAGGGGGUAGCGGAAUUCCCAGUGUAGCGGUGAAAUGCGUAGAUACUGGGAGGACACCAGUGGCGAAGGCGGCUACCUGG